rnacentral:rRNA from 1 species
UACGUAGGGUCCGAGCGUUGUCCGGAAUCAUUGGGCGUAAAGAGCGUGUAGGCGGCCAGAAAAGUCCGCUGUGAAAACUCGAGGCUCAACCUCGAGCUGUCGGUGGAAACUUUCUGGCUAGAGUCCGGAAGAGGAGAAUGGAAUUCCUGGUGUAGCGGUGAAAUGCGCAGAUAUCAGGAAGAACACCCGUGGCGAAGGCGGUUCUCUGGGACGGUACUGACGCUGAGACGCGAAAGCGUGGGGAGCGAACAGG